AGCAGCCGCGGUAAUUCCAGCUCCAAUAGCGUAUAUUAAAGUUGUUGCAGUUAAAAAGCUCGUAGUUGAAUUUCGGGAUCAAUAUGUUGGUCGUGCCUCGGUACGUACUAGCAUAUUGGUUUCUCCUUUCUGAAGAACCAUGAUGUCAUUUAUUUGGUGUCGUGGGGAAUCAGGACUGUUACUUUGAAAAAAUUAGAGUGUUUAAAGCAGGCUCACGCUUGAAUACAUUAGCAUGGAAUAAUGAAAUAGGACGUUUGAUUCUAUUUUGUUGGUUUCUAGGAUCGACGUAAUGAUUAAUAGGGAUAGUUGGGGGCAUUAGUAUUCAAUUGUCAGAGGUGAAAUUCUUGGAUUUAUUGAAGACUAACUACUGCGAAAGCAUUUGCCAAGGAUGUUUUCAUUAAUCAAGAACGAAAGUUAGGGGAUCGAAGACGAUCAGAUACCGUCGUAGUCUUAACCAUAAACUAUGCCGACUAGGGAUCGGAUGAUGUUAAUUUUUUAAUGACUCAUUCGGCGCCUUACG
rnacentral:ncRNA from 3 species